AAACCAUGGUGGGGGCACUGUCUUAAUAAACCUUUGAAUCUGUCACAUGCUUCAAAUAAUGAUUCUCUAUCUGCCUGAGUAAAAUUUGUAAUGCAAUUCCUCAUAU